UACGGAGGGGACUAGCGUUGUUCGGAAUUACUGGGCGUAAAGCGCGCGUAGGCGGAUUUGUAAGUCGGGGGUGAAAUCCCGGGGCUCAACCUCGGAACUGCCUUCGAUACUGCAAAUCUCGAGUCCGGAAGAGGUGAGUGGAAUUCCUAGUGUAGAGGUGAAAUUCGUAGAUAUUAGGAAGAACACCAGUGGCGAAGGCGGCUCACUGGUCCGGUACUGACGCUGGAGGCGACGAAAGCGUGGGGAGCAAACAGG
rnacentral:rRNA from 1 species